rnacentral:rRNA from 1 species
AAUGAACGCUGGCGGCAUGCCUUACACAUGCAAGUCGAACGGCAGCAUGACCUCGCUUGCUAGGUUGAUGGCGAGUGGCGCACGGGUGAGUAAUGCAUCGGAACGUGCCUUUUAGUGGGGGAUAACGUAGCGAAAGUUACGCUAAUACCGCAUAUUCUCUGAGGAGGAAAGCAGGGGACCUUCGGGCCUUGCGCUAGAAGAGCGGCCGAUGUCGGAUUAGCUAGUUGGUGAGGUAAAGGCUCACCAAGGCAACGAUCCGUAGCGGGUCUGAGAGGAUGAUCCGCCACACUGGGACUGAGACACGGCCCAGACUCCUACGGGAGGCAGCAGUGGGGAAUUUUGGACAAUGGGCGCAAGCCUGAUCCAGCCAUGCCGCGUGAGUGAAGAAGGCCUUCGGGUUGUAAAGCUCUUUCGGCUGGGAAGAAAUCGCACCCUCUAAUACAGGGUGUGGAUGACGGUACCAGCAGAAGAAGCACCGGCUAACUACGUG